rnacentral:rRNA from 1 species
GGCGAUACGGNCACGACUAGAGUGCUGUAGGGGUAACUGGAAUUCCUGGUGUAGCGGUGAAAUGCGCAGAUAUCAGGAGGAACACCGAUGGCGAAGGCAGGUUACUGGGCAGUUACUGACGCUGAGGAGCGAAAGCAUGGGGAGCGAACAGGAUUAGAUACCCUGGUAGUCCAUGCUGUAAACGGUGGGCGCUAGGUGUGGGCUGUGUGUUUGCAGUCUGUGCCGUAGCUAACGCAUUAAGCGCCCCGCCUGGGGAGUACGGCCGCAAGGCUAAAACUCAAAGGAAUUGACGGGGGCCCGCACAAGCGGCGGGCAUGUGGAUUAAUUCGAUGCAACGCGAAGAACCUUACCUGGGUUUGACAUGCACCAGAUCGGCGUAGAGAUACGUCCUCCCUUGUGGUUGGUGCACAGGUGGUGCAUGGUUGUCGUCAGCUCGUGUCGUGAGAUGUUGGGUUAAGUCCCGCAACGAGCGCAACCCUUGUCUUAUGUUGCCAGCACAUUUUUGGUGGGGACUCAUGAGAAACUGCCGGGGUCAACUCGGAGGAAGGUGGGGAUGACGUCAAAUCAUCAUGCCCUUUAUACCCAGGGCUUCACACAUGCUACAAUGGUCGGUACAACGGGUUGCGACACUGUGAAGUGAAGCUAAUCUCUUAAAGCCGGCCUCAGUUCGGAUUGGGGUCUGCAACUCGACCCCAUGAAGUCGGAGUCGCUAGUAAUCGCAGAUCAGCAACGCUGCGGUGAAUACGUUCCCGGGCCUUGUACACACCGCCCGUCACGUCAUGAAAGUUGGUAACACCCGAAGCCCAUGGCCUA